rnacentral:rRNA from 1 species
CAGCCGCCGCGGUAAUACGUAUGUCACAAGCGUUAUCCGGAUUUAUUGGGCGUAAAGCGCGUCUAGGUGGUUAUGUAAGUCUGAUGUGAAAAUGCAGGGCUCAACUCUGUAUUGCGUUGGAAACUGUGUAGCUAGAGUACUGGAGAGGUAAGCGGAACUACAAGUGUAGAGGUGAAAUUCGUAGAUAUUUGUAGGAAUGCCGAUGGGGAAGCCAACUUACUGGACAGAUACUGACGCUAAAGCGCGAAAGCGUGGGUAGCAAACAGGAUUAGAUACCCGUGUAGUCCCUGUCUCUUAUACA